rnacentral:rRNA from 1 species
GACAGAGGGUGCAAACGUUGCUCGGAAUUACUGGGCGUAAAGGGCGUGUAGGCGGGAAGGCAAGUCGGGCGUGAAAGCCCCAGGCUCAACCUGGGAACUGCACUCGAAACUGCCUUUCUUGAGUGCCGGAGAGGAAAGCGGAAUUCCUGGUGUAGAGGUGAAAUUCGUAGAUAUCAGGAGGAACACCAGUGGCGAAGGCGGCUUUCUGGACGGUAACUGACGCUGAGACGCGAAGCGUGGGGAGCAAACAGG